rnacentral:lncRNA from 1 species
GGUCGCUGCCACUGAGUAGUGACCAAAUCAUCCCCGACAGGAAUGGCACAGGAGGACGAUGGCCUGAAGGACAUGCUUUCUCUCAAUUAUACUUUGAUAAUAGAAUCUCAUUAUGGAUAUGUGUUGGAUGUUCCAUUGGAUGAACAAAAGGCCACCCACAGCAUUACUGUCAAUAGCACAGAGGCCCUGCCC